GAUUUUUGAAAAUGUGUAAAAAUGUAUGAGAGAUACAUUUGUAUCAAUGGUUGAGAUCUUUCCUGAUCAACAUCUAACGGUUGUCUCUCAAACACUCCUCUCAUUUCUACCCAAGUGUAUCAAACACUCCUCUUCUUCUGUGUCUCACAGGUCUGCCUCCCACCUAACCCUUCUCCCUCUCUUCUUCUUGAUUUCAAAUGGGAGUCGAGUGUUCUGUAAAUCCUUCUUGGUACCUUCACUCGCUUCGACUGAACUCAUUCGAUUCAAGUUUUUCAGAGCUCGAACUUCCUCAUCCAACCCUUCUAGGGUUUUUCGAAUGGCCACCGAGCCUCCUUCUUCAUCCUCAUCAUCACCACCACACUCCGCUUCAGCUUCCUCUAAUGGCGAUUCAUCCUCGGUCCCCGCUUCUUCUGCCAUCGAUUUUCUCUCUCUCUGUCACCGUCUCAAGACGACGAAGAGAACGGGAUGGGUGCGAAGGGAUGUUGAGAAUCCAGAGUCCAUAGCCGAUCAUAUGUAUCGAAUGGGGUUGAUGGCUCUCAAAUAGGAUAUUUUGUGCCAUGGGAAGCAAAUUUAUGAAUGCUGACCAAUCAACAUUUAUGAUUGAUCUACAUCAAGUUGGAAUGAUGCUAAGAUUCUAAUUCUGUCGGAACUGCUCGCUCCC